AGCGUAGACGGCGAUGCAAGUCAGAUGUGAAAACCCAUGGCUCAACCAUGGGAUUGCAUUUGAAACUGUGUUGCUAGAGUGCAGGAGAGGUAAGCGGAAUUCCUGGUGUAGCGGUGAAAUGCGUAGAUAUCAGGAGGAACACCGGUGGCGAAGGCGGCUUACUAGACUGUAACUGACGUUGAGGCUCGAAGGCGUGGGUAGCAAACA
rnacentral:rRNA from 1 species